GCUGGGCGUGGUGGCUCACGCCUGUAAUCCUAGCACUUUGGGAGGCCGAGGUGGGUGGAUCACCUGAGGUCAGGAGUUCAAGACCAGCCUGGCCAUUAUGGUGAAACUCCAUCUUUU
rnacentral:SRP_RNA from 2 species